CCUACGGGAGGCAGCAGUAGGGAAUAUUGCUCAAUGGGGGAAACCCUGAAGCAGCAACGCCGCGUGGAGGAUGAAGGUUUUCGGAUUGUAAACUCCUUUUGUUAGAGAAGAUAAUGACGGUAUCUAACGAAUAAGCACCUGCUAACUCCGUGCCAGCAGCCGCGGUAAUACGGAGGGUGCAAGCGUUACUCGGAAUCACUGGGCGUAAAGAGCGCGUAGGCGGGAUAGCAAGUCAGAUGUGAAAUCCUAUGGCUUAACCAUAGAACUGCAUUUGAAACUGUUAUUCUAGAGAAUGGGAGAGGUAGGUGGAAUUCUUGGUGUAGGGGUAAAAUCCGUAGAGAUCAAGAGGAAUACUCAUGGCGAAGGCGACCUGCUAGAACAUAACUGACGCUGAUGCGCGAAAGCGUGGGGAGCAAACAGGAUUAGAUACCCGAGUAGUC
rnacentral:rRNA from 1 species